rnacentral:rRNA from 1 species
UACCAGCACCCCGAGUGGUCGGGACGAUUAUUGGGCCUAAAGCAUCCGUAGCCGGCCUUACAAGUCCUCCGUUAAAUCCAACUGCUUAACAGAUGGGCUGCGGAGGAUACUAUAAGACUAGGAGGCAGGAGAGGCAAGCGGUACUCAGUGGGUAGGGGUAAAAUCCGUUGAUCCAUUGAAGACCACCAGUGGCGAAGGCGGCUUGCCAGAACGCGCUCGACGGUGAGGGAUGAAAGCUGGGGGAGCAAACCGG